rnacentral:rRNA from 1 species
GACGAACGCUGGCGGCGUGCUUAACACAUGCAAGUCGAACGGAAAGGCCCUGCUUUUGUGGGGUGCUCGAGUGGCGAACGGGUGAGUAACACGUGAGUAACCUGCCCUUGACUUUGGGAUAACUUCAGGAAACUGGGGCUAAUCCCGGAUAGGAGCUCCUGCUGCAUGGUGGGGGUUGGAAAGUUUCGGCGGUUGGGGAUGGACUCGCGGCUUAUCAGCUUGUUGGUGGGGUAGUGGCUUACCAAGGCUUUGACGGGUAGCCGGCCUGCGAGGGUGACCGGACACAUUGGGACUGAGAUGCGGCCCAGACUCCUACGGGAGGCAGCAGUGGGGAAUAUUGCACAAUGGGCGGAAGCCUGAUGCAGCAACGCCGCGUGCGGGAUGACGGCCUUCGGGUUGUAAACCGCUUUCGCCUGUGACGAAGCGUGAGUGACGGUAAUGGGUAAAGAAGCACCGGCUAACUACGUG